UGAAGAUGAUGAUGAUGAUGACGAUGAAGAAGAAGGAGGAUUGGAAGACAUUGAUGAAGAAGGAGAUGAGGAUGAAGGAGGAUGAAGGGGAAGAUGACUAAUGGAACACUGAUGGAUUCCAACCUUCCUUUUUUAAUUUUCUUCAGUCCCUGGGAGCAAGUUGCCGUCUUUUUUUUUUUCCUUUUUCUUUUUCUUUUCUCCUCUCGUGCUCAUUCGCCCUGUUUUUUGAAGUCUCCUUUUUCUCUCCCUUUAUACCAUGGUUCUCAGCUUAUUUUGGGGGGAAAUACCUUGAGCAGAAUACAGUGGGAAAAGAAUCUCUACCUCUUUUUGUUCCAAAUUCAUUUUUGUCCCUUCCUGUCUCAACAAAAACAAAAACUUUAUGGAAUCAACACCACCGUGCUCUGUGGGAAAAAAGAAAAACCUUCUGCUCCCUUAGCUCUGCUGGAAGCUGGAGGGUGCUAGGCCCCUGUGUAGCAGUGCAUAGAAUUCUAGCUUUUUUCCUCCUUUCUCUGUAUAUUGGGCUCAGAGAUUACACUGUGUCUCUAUGUGAAUAUGGACAGUUAGCAUUUACCAACAUGGACCUGUCUACUUUCUCUUGUUUAAAAAAAAGAAAAAAAAA